UUUCUUUGAGUCGAUACUCCUGAAAGUUCUUCCAUAGGUAGGAUCUCUUUAUUGAUGCAGAAAUGAUAUGUUCUCUUUUCCCCUUUGGUAUAACUAGUAGGAUUUGCCUGAAGUCACCUCCCAAGACUACUGUCAUUCCUCCAAAUGGUCUAUACUCUGCAUCCUCAUAUGUGAAUCGAAGUAUGUCUCUCAAACUCUUAUCUAGUGCCUCAAAACAGUGCUUGUGUGUCAUAGGUGCUUCAUCCCAUAUUAUCAGUGAUGUUUUCUUUAUUAGCUCCGCAAGAAAUGUUCCUUGCUUGAUGUUGCAUGUGGACUCGUUAGUGAUCUUGAGGGGAAUGUGAAAUCUUGAAUGAGCUGUUCUUCCACCCUGUCAAAGAAGUGCUGCUAUACCACUUGAAGCAACUGCUAGAACUAUUUUUCCUUCAGAUCUUAAUUUUGUCGUGACUGCUUUCCACAGAAAUGUCUUUCCAGUUCCACCAUAUCCGUUAACAAAAAUCAAUUUCCCAAGACUGUCGUUGACUGAUUCUAUUAUAACGUCAAAAGCCAUCCUCUGAUCCUGAUUUAGCUUAUGCAGUAACUUCAUCUGCUCUAUUCUUAAAGAAUCUUUAUCGUAGUUUAGUUCCUCAUUUACUAAUCUAUUAUUUAGAUCUUGAAUAGCUGAACUAUCUGGUAGUGGCAUUCCUGGAAAAUCUUUGAGGGACUUACCACCUUUAGUCAAUAGUUGUUCUAUCUCUGCCAGGAGCAGGCUCUUUAUUUGUGCCGAGUUGAGUUCCAGGGCCUGAAAAUUGAAUAUUCUUCUUUGCCGACGUUGGAUAUCCUCAAAUAGUAACUCCCAAUUUGUUUGCCACAACUUUGCGGGAUCCGUCACCUCACAAAAUAAAAGAAUUGUGCAGAAAAGUUGGCGCACUUGAGGAGCAGAGGCCCAAUGGGAUGCUUCCUUGAUGCAGUCAUCCCACUCUUUGUCGUCAUUAAGUAGCCCAAGAGCAUAACAUGCGGAUUUGAAUGUUGGAUGUACAACCCCAUCAACUGUUCGAAUUUCUUCAUAUGAUCUGCAUCCUUUGACGGCCGGGAUACAAUUUGAUCUAAAUCCAUUGAGUCCGGGAACACCACGACAUGUUCAUUUUCUAGGUGAAAUUGUAACCUCUCAACCGCAGGCUCUCUGUACUGAAGAGGAAACUGAAAUAUGCGCCAUGCGGCUUCACAUCCAGAUAUGUACCAGGCAUCUAGGUACCUCUUGAUUUCGUCGUCCCUGUUUGUUAAUUUGCUAGCUCUAGUUUCACUUUGUUGGUCUUCCGCUUCUAUCAAGACGGUUGUUCGAUCUUCUCCUUUGUGGAUGUAUUUGAAUAAAUACUUUAUAGACCUUGAUCUGUUGCACCAUUCAACAUUUAUGUGGGCUUGAUACUUGACCAGUAGGUUUCUAUUGUAUGGCACAACAAAUCUAUUGUCUAGCUUCACUCCAUUUUUGUCCACAGUGUUGCCAUCAUCUCGCCUUCUAUAUACUGGAUCGUUAUCUUCAUCUAUGGUAGUCUCAGUGCAAAAAUUCUUGGGGAAAUGUUUGGCACAACUUUUAUCGACCAUGCAUGGUGAUUUGGGGUGUGCUUGACCACAUGGACCAUGUAUCAUGUAAUUUUGCACUGCUUCGUACCCUUCUGGAUCACUAUUCUUAUCAGGAAUUUUGGCUGAUAUGAUUUUGUCGAUCUGGGAAGGACUUGGAUCUUUAUCAUCUGGGUGUAGAAACACCAGUAUGUGUGCAUGCGGGAGGCCUCUUUUCUGGAACUCUAUAGUGUAGACAACUGUAUGAAAGUAAACAAAUUUGAGAAGAAAUGAGUUAGGACAAUCAUCUAGGAAAGAGUGAAUAUGUACUUAUUAGGUAAACUUACUUGCAAUUGUUUGUCCAAAACACUUUCCGUUCUUUAUGUCAUUCAUAAGUUCCUUCAGUUUUAACAUGAAUACUCUGGCAACAAUAUCUGGACGAUCUUCAGGUUUCUGGCCUGGAAUCAGAUCCAACAUAUCUUGUAUUUCCAGCCAUUUUGGAUUGCAUGUAAAAGUAAUGAAGAGAUCAGGAUAGCCAGCCCAACGACAAAUCGCCAUGGCAUCUUGGUAGUUUUGCUGCUUAUUUCUUGGACUGCCAUUAUAUGAUGAGGGUAGUAUGAUUCUUUGUCCAACUUGUUCGGUUCGUGUAUCUCCAUUUUCUAUUGCAUCAUGCAGUCCUCUGUACAGUUCUGUCCUCAACUUACCUUGGUUUGUCCUGUACCAAUUUAGUCUCCACUGUUCAAUGCACGUUGUUGCAUCAACUAAGAACUGCAGGAACAAACGUCCACUCAUUUGCAAUGUUGAAGCUUGGUUCGGACGUUGUUGUAUGUGAUACGCAUAAAACUCCAGCAUUGUUACAUACUUUCUUUUACCUUUGCUGCCUCUUUUUUCUCAUACUCUAUUUCUGGUCUGAAACCAUCUUCUCCAUAUGGAAAAAGCAAGGGGUACUGCAUUGCCAUAUAGCUUGGGUGCAACUCUGAAAUCCUCUGUGACAUUUUGUCUUUGGUCUCAACUAUUAUAUCAAAUUCAUUAUUUUCUCCAUCUUGUUCCCCAAUAAUUAGUGCUGCAACUUCUGAGGCAGAUGGUAGGUUUUAUUGCCGUCCAUCUUUCGACCUUUUGUUGAUCAAUCUUAGUCUUACAUCUUUAAUACGUCGGUUUUGGAAUCUGUCCCUUGCCAUACGAAAUGAUUUGACUAAAACAUUGUGCUCAUCAAGCAUCUCCAGUAGUCCUUUGACAAUGUUUUCAUCUGGUUGUGUCUUACUCUCCAUUGAAGCAGAUGCAUUAAUCCUAUUCCGCACUUCAUUUUCUGUGUCAUGUAUGUACAAUUGGGAAAAUUUUGGCUUCGUCACGUCAUCUUUAGGAAGUAAAGUGCCAAUCUGAUGGUAAUUCUGGCCAUUCAAAUGGAAAACAUACGGUCCAGAUGCCUGCUUAUUAAUUUCAUAGUCAACCUUUCCUCCCAUUGAAGUGAAUGCGAACAUCGAGUUGUACAACCUGAUGUUCUUGCAGAAAUUUGAUGAUUCUCCUCUUUCAUUGUAACGUAGUAGCUGUCGGAGAUACAGCGGAGCUUGUUUCAGUGGUGGUAAGUUAACUUUCCCUUCCUUGCAGCAGAGACCAAAUUUUGGAACUGUGAUGUUACCUGUGCUUGUGCUUCUCUCUCCAUGCCACAUAAUGGCAUUGCAAAAUUCACAAACACAAUUUGGUUUUCCCAGAUAUGAAAUUUGAGUGACAUCCUUCGCUACAUGAGAUACUUCACAGUCAUUGCCCUUUUCUGUCCUUAGUCGUUUGCUUGCCUUUUUCAGCUUGAGGAUCUCUUUCCUUUUCCGCCUAGCUUCCUUUGCUGCUGCUCUAAUGAUGUCUGAUUGACUAUCAUUAGAUUCGAGUGUUGCUAGUUUGGAGGCUGCUUGCUCAGUGCAUGUUCGACGCAUGUUGACUGCGGCUAGUGAAUCCUGAAAUAAAUGAGGUAAAAGGUGUAACUGAUUUUAUUCUGAGAUAUAAGUGAGAACAUCUUAUACGUAACUGAUUUUAUUUGUCUAGAAGUUCAGAAUUGCUGAUGAUAAAUUUAAUGUAAACAUGUGAGGCACCACAAUGUUUGCAAGGAUGUUGAAGGUAUUUGUAUGGAACAGAUAGUUUCCUGAUAAGAUUCUUUUUCAUAUGGAUUGUUUUCCAACAAAGGAUUUUAAAUCGUCUAAAAUCAUUAUUCUAUUGUGAAAGAAGGAUACUUGUGUUGUCACCUUCCGAUGAGAGGACGUAUAUGCUCUGUAAUUGGUGAUCAGAAUCUCAAGUUUAUCGCCGCUUUCUCUCUGUAAUUCAAGUUAAUACAAAGCAUGUGUAAUGAGAUCGGGGAGUUGAUGUAUAUAUUAAUCAUUGCAAGAGACAUGCAUAUAUUAUUUGUGGAAGGAGAUAAUGAACAUUGGCUGCAAGUACUGCCACACAACCUGUCUGCUCCUUGCUGCUUGCGAGAGGAGGGCAAUGUCUUGUCGGGAUGUGCACGCUCUGUAAUUGGUGAUCUAAAUCUCAAGUUUAUCGGCGCUUUCUCUCUGUAAUUCAAGUUAAUACAAAGCAUGUGUAAUGAGAUCAGAGAGUUAAUGCAUAUAGUAUUAAUCAUUGCAAGGAGACAUUCAUGUAUUAUUUGUGGAAGGAGAUAAUGAACAUUACCUGCAAGUACUGCCACACAACCUGUCUGCUCCUUGUUGCUGGCGAGAGGACUAAUUAUUGCCUGUAUGUGAUGAAGGAUGAGAUCGGGAGCGGUGUCUUGCUUGGA